rnacentral:rRNA from 1 species
AUGUGGUUUAAUUCGAAGAUACGCGAAGAACCUUACCUGGGCUUGAUAUCCUAAGAACCUUUUAGAGAUAAGAGGGUGCUAGCUUGCUAGAACUUAGAGACAGGUGCUGCACGGCUGUCGUCAGCUCGUGUCGUGAGAUGUUGGGUUAAGUCCCGCAACGAGCGCAACCCACGUAUUUAGUUGCUAACGGUUCGGCCGAGCACUCUAAAUAGACUGCCUUCGUAAGGAGGAGGAAGGUGUGGACGACGUCAAGUCAUCAUGGCCCUUAUGCCCAGGGCGACACACGUGCUACAAUGGCAUAUACAAUGAGACGCAAUACCGCGAGGUGGAGCAAAUCUAUAAAAUAUGUCCCAGUUCGGAUUGUUCUCUGCAACUCGAGAGCAUGAAGCCGGAAUCGCUAGUAAUCGUAGAUCAGCCAUGCUACGGUGAAUACGUUCCCGGGUCUUGUACUCACCGCCCGUCACACCAUGGGAGUUGAUUUCACUCGAAGCCGGAAUACUAAACUAGUUACCGUCCACAGUGGAAUCAGCGACUGGGGUGAAGUCGUAACAAGGUAACCGUAGGAGAACCUGCGGUUGGAUCACCUCCUUUCUA